CAACGAAUAUUCCGCAAUGCGCGAAAGCGUGACGGAGCAAUGCCGCGUGCAGGAUGAAGCGGCUUCGCCGUGUAAACUGCUGUCAGGGUAUAGGAAUACUGACCAUACCCAAAGGAAGGGCCGGCUAACCUCGUGCCAGCAGCCGCGGUAAGACGAGGGGCCCAAGCGUUAAUCGGAAUCACUGGGCUUAAAGGGUGCGUAGGCGGACCUGUAAGCGUUCUGUGAAAGCCCUCGGCUCAACCGAGGAACUGCGGAGCGAACUACAGGUCUUGAGGUAGGUAGAGGUCGUCGGAACGCUAGGUGGAGCGGUGAAAUGCGUAGAGAUCUAGCGGAACGCCAAAGGAGUAAUCAGGCGACUGGGCCUUACCUGACGCUGAGGCACGAAAGCGUGGGGAGCGAACGGGAUUAGAUACCCCCGUAGUCC
rnacentral:rRNA from 1 species